UAGCCUAGUGGUUAAGGCUAUGGAUCGCCAAUCCGGAGAUGACGAGUUCGAUUCCCGU
rnacentral:tRNA from 1 species